CUUUAAGGGCCCCACUAUACCCAUACCAAGUCUCUCAGAUGGUGCUUCCAUGAUGGGUAGAGGCUGCAACAUUGCCUGAGGCACUCUGCGUGAGGAGGUAAGUUUGACAAAUUUCACAUGAACUGCAAAAUUUUGAGAUGUCAUUAUACAUGCCUGGCCAAACAAACCUGCUGGCAAUCCUACGCAAGGUCUUCUGGCCAGCCCAAGGAACAGAAUGUCCCAACUCCAUUACCUUGGAUCUGAACUGUUUAGGCAAAGCCAAAGUUUCUACUGUCCCCUUACUCUGGUACAGUGCCGUUCGUAAUGACAUAUGUUGCAUCCUCUAAACAUCCUAAGCUACCUUGAUUUACUCCCUCAACCUCUAUCACCUUGCUUAACCAGGGUUUCAGGGUAACAUCCUCUUUCUGUAACUUUGCUACAUCAGAAGGGAGAUUUGGCUCAACUGGCUAAAGAGAAAUGUUUAAACUUUCCAGUUUGCAUCUUUGUGGUCAUCCUCAUCACUUUACGCAGGCAAACUCCUGACACCAAUUGUGGCGCCGAGGGCACUUGUCAGGAUAACCCUCAUGCGCUCCGGAAGAAAAAGUGAUACUGAGCAGGCCAAUGUCCAGUGCAGACCCAAGUGCAUUUAUUUACAUUUUUUACAAAUUAAAAACUAGGCAGCAAAAAUCCAUGCAUGCCGCUCCAUCCAUCUCUCAGCCCUCUCCAACAAACACAGAGCUGUAUUUAUAACAGGUGUGACUACCAUAUUUUCCGCACCAUAAGGUUCACCUGAUUAUACGGCACACAGCCAAUCAGCGUCCUACUUAAAGGUUUGGUCCACACAUAAGACUCAUUGGAUCAAAACACGCACCCAACAAAGCAAAUGAGCGUCCCGGUCGGCACAAUUAAGGCAAAUUGGGCAAUUAGAUCAAAGUCAAAUGUAACUCCAAUCAUUAUCUAUACUAAAAAAUUAAUUUCUCAUUAUUGAAGUAACAUUUAGUCCCAAUUUAAUGCACGGGUGCUUUUAGCAGCAAGAAUGAAGAUUUAAACUCUGGCAACAGCAUGACUGACUGAACGCAGCGCCAAGCCCCUCUCACCGCUGCAGGAGCUGAGUCGGCCAGAGAUAAAUCAUCAUGUGCAGCCACUGUCAUACUGCCAUAGAGUAUCACAGCUAUAGGUCACAAGUAAUGAGAGUAAAACUAAAGAGCUCUAAGCAAUUUAUUUAUCCAGUUACCCUCUAUCUGAUCCAUUACAGUGGCUGUAAUGACCUGGGAGCCGAGCAGAAAAGUCUUACUCCACCUAGUAGUGCAUAAUUGGUACAAUAAGCCAAACGAAGAAGUUAGAUCAAAAUCAAACUUUAUUCCUCUCAUUCACAAUAGGGGGUACUGCGCUGAGCCAGAGUUACCGGUACCUUAAUACAUGUAUAAAAGGCGCAUCCAUUUUAAAAUGCGCACUGCCGGUUCAGGGGAAGAUCAAACGUUUUUAAUAGUGCCUUAUGGUGUGGAAAAUACGAUAAUUGGACUAAUCCUAAAACCCAGACACAGGUAAGUACAAAAAUACAAUCUUUCAAUAUUCUUAAAUUAUCCUUAAAUCAUCAUCUAUAAGAUUUCUUUAAUAAAUUACAAUACAAAAAUUGAAAUAUCCUUAAUCAAUCCUAAAAACAUUCAGUGAAACUAAUCUGCAUUCCUAGAGCAGUUUCACAGGUCAUCCCUCCUAUUCAUCCUGAAUGGAAUGCUCCAGAGCCUUAAGUGCUCCAGCUCCCCGGGGACUCUUUUAGCUGGAACACCUCCAGAAGCACAAAGGAAACAGGUCUAAACUCUUCACCCUUUUUAAAUAAACAUUAAAACAAUUGUUAUUGUGUCUGGUUUCAUAAAACCAUAACAAAAGCCUGUGUAAUGGUAUUGCUACAUUACAGUCCUUCAAACAUGCAAAACAACAGAAUUAUUGGCUAAAUGUGUUGUUUCUUGCCACACACUUCCGUGAUGCAAUGCAAGAAACAUAAACACUGACGUCAAAAAAGAUCCUCCAAUAGGUCCAACAUCAAUUUUUAGACACUUCCACUCACAUCAUCAAUUAUGUCAGUGUAAUUUUUCGUGGACUCUUAGAAUUAAAUGUUAUCCAACCAAUCAUCAGAGUUCAGGGUAGUCACAGUUCACGCCAUGGCACUAUUCCACCAAUCAGCAUGGAGUUUACCUGGCGUUACCGGCUACACCACAUGUAAAGUGGAUGGGGAAAAAUGUAAGCUUCAACUCGGCAAAGGCAGCGGAAAAGUUCUUCAGCGACGAGGAUGAGCAGGAGGAGAGGGCGCAGGGUGGGGAGAUCCCAAAAUCGACUGAUUGAUGACGUAAACUCGAGGAGCCUAAGACACCUUGUGUUUGACUGUCGGAGGGGGGCAGAUCUCAUCAUCUGUCAUCGCAGGAGGGGAGAAGCGGAGCAGCGUCCUACGGACCCGAUAAGGUUUUAGUUUGGGCUCCUUUUUUAAUUAAAAAAAAGCUCACCACCUUCCCCGCUGUUCAUGGAACUUGGACUCUGGACUAACGCCUUACGGCACCCUACUCACUGAACUUACCAGUGCAUCUUUAGUUCCCGUUUUCAUAAUAAAAUACUUUAUUUUUACUUCCCCCGAGUUGUCGUGUUGAUUCUGCUUGUCUUGGGUUAGAUGCCUCCCGCAAGUAAAUCUGAAAUGCUUGUCACCAGCAUUCAGACAUCAAUUCUGUUUGCUUCACAGCCAGACAGGACAGGGAAAAAAAGAAAGGAAAAAAAAGACUAAUCUGCUCUAGAAAUAUCCAGAGCCGUCAUUUUCUGUAAAAUAAUAUGAAAGUACAGGUGCUGCUAUGUUGUUGUAACUCCUGUACAGUGUUUAAAGAUGAUACUCAGUCACAGCACUGUGAUGUCAGUCAGUGUUUGUACUAAUAACACUUUGUAAUAAUUGCUUUAGCAAAUUUUUUUAAAAUUGCCUGAAUUUCUGUGUUACUCAAAAGGAUUUAUAUAGCCAAGAAACUCACUAACUGUGCUCAAAUAUUAUUAUUUUAAAAGUAUGUGGGUUAUAUAAAUUAUUUUAUUUAUUACUUUUAAAAAAAACUUCUGUUGGUGGUAGUUUAAAAAAUCAGCCAUUGAUCUAAAAUCAAUGAGGUUCACAUAUUUGGAAAUCCUGUAUGUAAAACAAUCCUUUCAAAAAAGGAAAAACUGUCGGAUGUUUGAUGAGUUUUGAUGGCAUAAAGUUUAAUUUGAACCAACUGUCGUCAGAGGGAUGAGUAUCUUCUCUGUUAACAACAGAAUAAAGUUUUGUGUUUAAACUCUUGCUG